GUACACACAAUUUGCAUCUGGCUCUUUCUGAGUACUCAUUGGUUUUGAGGAGGAUGUUUCCGGUGCGGCCCCUGACUUUCCGCCCUGGAUAAGGCCACCAGUGAGGGAGAAAAUCCCGUCUGGGAUGGGGUGUCCGCGCCCGUGUGAACCUCCUUCCACGAAUCUAGUUGUUUGUGAAUGCAAUUCUAAAUGGAUGGUAAAUUUCAUCUAAAACUAAAUACUGGCCGAAAACCGAUAACAAACAAGAGCGGCGACGAGGUCUUUCUUAUCGACACCGACCUUGAAGAGGCCCCUGAAUGGCUUGCCGAAUUUGCCACCCUGCGCGCCGAGACCGAUAGCGAACAAGA
rnacentral:rRNA from 1 species